UUUUAAAUAUUUUCAAUGAUGUAAAAAACAUGUAAAUCCGAGUUACUAUGAGUAAGUUAUGAAGGAUUAAAAAUAACAACAAAUGGAAAGUUAAGUGAAAAAUAUUUUACCUCAAGGGUAACUUGUUAAUAGAUCAAAGGUUCGAACCUCACCAAGGCUCACAUGUAGUGUAUAUGGGUUGUCUAAAGAGGCCUUGAGGCCUUAGUCUUAUCUUCCUACCUACAUCCAAGGUGC
rnacentral:lncRNA from 1 species